rnacentral:Y_RNA from 1 species
GGCUGGUCCCAUAGUAGUGGGUUAUCAGAGUUUAUUGAUGUCACUAAACUUGGUGUGCAACCCCGCACUGUUAAAUUUGGCUGGCUUAAA